CAAUACAAACGAAAGAUUAAAUAUAAUUAUUAAAAAAAUAUUCACCAGUCGCCGAAGUGUACGCGAGGUGGUUCCGAUUGUGACACGUCAACAAGGAAUUGAUUGCGGUAACGGAUCUCAACGGCUGCCACGUCAUCCGAGAGCUGGAAAAGGGUAUCGCCAAAACUCCACCAUUUGUCGCGUUAAUAUAACCUGCUGCUGACGACAAAAAAACAUCUGAGAAGCGCUAGUUAAAUGCAAGAUUGUUGCUGCUUUUCUUUUCAACCUUCAACAAACAAGAACCAUGUACAUGUCAUGGAUCUCCUUUUCUUUCUAGUGCCCUGAUCAUCUCGAAAGUUGAAGAUUUUUUUGGCAAAUUCAAGAUUACCCAGUUCACAUUUGGGGUCAUUUUUCAUUAUACUGAGAAUUCUCUGGUUUUGUUGGCAUUUUAGGCAAUGGGGUGGAAAUAUAAAGCUGGGUUGGGAUUGAUUGGCUCAGUUGUGUUUAUAUGGGUUGCUUCUGCCGAGGUCACUCAGAAUAUCUAUGAAAAGUACAGACAGCCAUUUGCACUCACAUAUCUUGGAGCGUCUCUUAUGGUGGUCUUUCUACCCAUAGCGUUUAUGAAAGACUGGUUCUGUAGUUUAUUCCACACUUACUUGUUAAAGGACAUCUACAAUGGCAGUUCUAUUACUAGCUCUUCUACUGGACUUGAUAUUCCGCUUACAAUCAAUGAUAUGUACCAAGAGCCAGAGACUGAAGCCAGUUGCUGCCUAGUAACUGACAAGGACCCUCUCAGUGAAAGGGAGGAGGGGUGGCCUGUGAUCGUGAAAAAAGGGGAAGAAGAACCUUCUUUGCUUCAACGGAAUUGCAAACUUAGUUCAGUGGAAGUUGCCAAGUGCAGUUUAUGUCUUGCUCCAAUCUGGUUUGUAACAGAGUAUCUAUCAAACUCAGCUUUAGCAAAUGCAAGUGUUGCAAGUACGACUGUCUUAACUUCUACUUCUGGCGCUUUUUACUGUUUUCUUUGGAGUUUUGCCUGGCCAGGACUCCAUAAAUGUUACCAAGUUGGUCGCUAUUUUUAUCAGCAUGGCUGGUGUAGCCAUGACCACGGUUGGAAAAACUUCAGCAACAGAUGAAAUGCUGAGCGUUUCUGAGGCAAGAAGGCAUUCAAUCAUGGGGGACAUAUUUGGCCUUUUCUCAGCAAUAUCAUCUGGCUUAUUUACAGUGUUGCUCAAGAGAUGUGCUGGAUCAGAAGGUGAGAAGGUUGAUAUGCAAAAGUUCUUGGGCUAUAUUGGUCUUUUCACCCUUCUUGGGCUUUGGUGGCUUUUGUUUCCACUGAAUGCUGUGGGGAUUGAACCAGCAUUCAGGUUCCCAGAUUCAACAUAUGUUGGCGAAGUUUUGCUGUUAAAUGGCUUUAUAGGGAGUGUUCUGUCAGAUUACUUGUGGGCACUUUCUGUGAUUUGGACGACUCCGCUGGUUGCGACAUUGGGCGUUUCCUUGACAAUACCCCUUGCAAUGGUAGCUGACAUGGUUAUACAUGGCCGUCACUACUCUGCAAUCUACGUCUCCGGAUGUAUUCAGGUUUUUGCAGGUUUCAUUAUAGCCAACAUUUCAGACAAAUUUUCACUCAAGAGGGAGUUAUAGCAGUCAUGAACUCUUCCAAGAAGCAUAAUCCUGUAAAUGGGGAGAGUGUACACCAAAUCUUGAAUGAUGAACCUGUUUUAGAAUGUUACAAUAAAUGGUUGUUUGCUUUUUAUGAGGUGGCCCUGCUAAGCUAGACUGUUAUGUAUUCACUUUGCUAAUGCAGUUUUUGAAUGUCAUCUGAAUUCCAUUCCUUCUGAAAAUGCAAUAAAUUGCAAUACCACUGGAUAAUGGUUCUGUUCC